GCCUCCUUAGCUCAGUUGGUAGAGCAACUGAUUCGUAAUCAGUAGGUCGAGGGUUCAAGUCCCUUGGGAGGCU
rnacentral:tRNA from 1 species